rnacentral:rRNA from 1 species
CACGUAGGGGGGCAAGCGUUGUCCGGAUUUAUUGGGCGUAAAGAGCUCGUAGGCGGCUCGGUAAGUCGGGUGUGAAACCUCCAGGCUCAACCUGGAGACGCCACCUGAUACUGCUGUGGCUAGAGUCCGGUAGGGGAGUGUGGAACUCCUGGUGUAGCGGUGAAAUGCGCAGAUAUCAGGAAGAACACCAGCGGCGAAGGCGGCACUCUGGGCCGGAACUGACGCUGAGGAGCGAAAGCGUGGGUAGCAAACAGG